rnacentral:rRNA from 1 species
UACGUAGGGUGCAAGCGUUUGUCCGGAAUUAUUGGGCGUAAAGAGCUCGUAGGCGGUCUGUCGCGUCUGCUGUGAAAUCUCAGGGCUUAACCCUGAGCUUGCAGUGGGUACGGGCAGACUGGAGUACUGCAGGGGAGACUGGAAUUCCUGGUGUAGCGGUGGAAUGCGCAGAUAUCAGGAGGAACACCGAUGGCGAAGGCAGGUCUCUGGGCCGAUACUGACGCUGAGGAGCGAAAGCGUGGGGAGCGAACAGG